rnacentral:rRNA from 1 species
GACGAACGCUGGCGGCGUGCCUAAUACAUGCAAGUCGAACGAAGCUGUUUUAACUGGUGCUUGCACCAACUUAAACAACUGAGUGGCGAACGGGUGAGUAACACGUGGGUAACCUGCCCAGAAGCGGGGGAUAACAUUUGGAAACAGAUGCUAAUACCGCAUAAAAGUCAAAACCACAUGGUUUUGAUUUAAAAGAUGGCCUUUGUGCUAUCACUUCUGGAUGGACCCGCGGCGUAUUAGCUAGUUGGUAAGGUAAUGGCUUACCAAGGCAAUGAUACGUAGCCGAACUGAGAGGUUGAUCGGCCACAAUGGGACUGAGACACGGCCCAUACUCCUACGGGAGGCAGCAGUAGGGAAUCUUCCACAAUGGGCGCAAGCCUGAUGGAGCAACACCGCGUGAGUGAAGAAGGGUUUCGGCUCGUAAAACUCUGUUGUUAAAGAAGAACGUAUCUAAGAGUAACUGCUUAGGUAGUGACGGUAUUUAACCAGAAAGCCACGGCUAACUACGUGCCAGCCGCCGCCGUAA